rnacentral:rRNA from 1 species
GACGAACCGAGCGAACGUUGUUCGGAAUCACUGGGCGUAAAGGGCGCGUAGGUGGCGGCCCAAGUCCAUGGUGAAAGCUCGAUGCUCAACAUCGAGUCGGCCACGGAUACUGGGUUGCUCGAGCACUGUAGGGGCAGAUGGAAUUCCGGGUGUAGCGGUGGAAUGCGUAGAGAUCCGGAAGAACACCGGUGGCGAAGGCGGUCUGCUGGGCAGUUGCUGACACUGACGGCGCGACAGCGUGGGGAGCAAACAGGG